AGUUUGUGUGGAUUCACAUCUCCCUUAGCUUAUUUAUAUGAUCCAUUAGUUCAUAGUCCAUCGUUGGCUAGCACUUCCGUCAGGGUGGUUCGUAACGAUUACUAAUGGAGAAGCGGAGUCAAGUACAUUAAGCACAUCCAAGACCAUGUUAGUGUUGGGAUGGUCAAUAGUACUGUCUUUAGCAUUAAGACUCCAACGUUGUUGUGGUUUGUCUUCACAUUUAGACACAACCACAGAGCGAUCGUAAUUUUGUUCAGAAGUCAAGCAAUAGUUUCUAUUCACAUGUUGUCGAAUGGUUCCAUCUGCAUACAAUGCCCAUCUUUGGUACUUAGUGUAUGUAUUACAUCCAUUCAGUCCCACAUUACUUGAAUCGUCUGUAGAUUGCAAACACAAGUUGUUAAGCCAUUCGAUGUUUGCAACCAUUGGGUUUAAACUUUCUGUGACUUCCCAGCUUUGUGAUGGUGUAUAUUUGAUACUUUGCAAUGUCACAUAGUCUGAAUCUCCUGUUAGAACCAUUCUUGACUCGGCGAGGGCUAUAGUUCCAUCAUUCUUGUGGAUCCAUUGCUUGUUAGAAUCUGACACUUUACCACACUCACUUACUACUGCUUUAUUUAUGACCCCAUAAAAAACGUCAGCAGCCAAGCAAAAUCUGUCAUUCAUGGGUCGAAUUGUGCCAUCUCCGACAACCGUCCAUAAUUGAGUUUGUUUCUUCUCGUCACAUGGUAAUAAUCGAGUUGGAAAAUUAAUACCUGCAGGUUUGUAAGACCUUAGAAGCACCAUCUCUAAACACAAUCCAUCACGACCCACAAGAUGUGUGGCUCCAGGGACGCCUCCAUAUCCAACUCCAUAUCCAUAGUUGGGGGGCACUGCGAUGACAAGUUGGGUGGUGAGUGAGAAGGCUACAAUGAUGCUCAACACGAUUUCUUUCAUCCUUUGAUUACUUUAAUUCGACUAUAUAUAUUUGUUUGACAAAGUUGGGCUAGAAUGAAGGGGUAUAUAUACACACAAAAUACAACGAAAGGCUAGCCAGUGGACAAUCAUGAAUGUAACAGGCAUUAUUAUUCUAAUUAAAAAGGAUCACAAACAAAAUAUUGUAGUGGGGAAUGAUGAAUCACAAAUCCAUAAUUGUUCUUCCAAUGGAUGGGGUUGUUUAUGAGGACGAGUAUACGCAUAAACUCUCCGUAUUGGUUUGAACUUUUUGUUACAUUUUGUAGCGGUAAUUAUGAUGAAAUUCAUAGUUUAUCCGAGGGAAAGGAAAUUUAUUUUAAACAAUGGUUAAAAAUAUUUAUAAAUAUACCAAAAUAUCAUAAUUUAUUAGCUAUAAAUUAUUGUAAAUAGACGUAUCAAAAACAUAAAUGGUAGCAUACUACAAUCUAUCACUAUAAGAUCUAUUGUUAUAUUUAUAAAUAUUUUAGUUCAUUUUGCUCUAAUUAUUAUUCAAUGUAGACUACGUUUCUAAAUCAUUAUUUUUCUUGUUAUAUAUAUUGAUCAUACAAGUAAAUACAAGUAAAUAUUUUUAAUUUGCAUUUUAUUUCACCACUUUUGUACCUUACUUAGAAGAAAGAUUUUCCUACCGUAUAUGCAUGCUUUUCGGAUAAUAUCUCUUAUGAAAGAUUUAUGGAUCAGUAUAACGUGAUGAUAAAUUUUGGAUGAAAACAAUGGAACAGAAAAGAAAACCACAAAGUACAAAAUUGAUUAGAUUUUCUGAAAACACAUGAAUCAAAAUAUAAAAAAGUGGAAUAAAUAAUGUUACAACAACGGAUGGUGAGACAUAAUAUAUAUUGACAUUUAUAAAUAAUAGAGAUAACAGAAGUUAAGAAAAUAGUAUAUAAUUUGAGUCAAAAGUGACAACAUGACAUAGGACCAAAAAGAAUCUAAUGAUAGGUAUUAGUUUGCAUGGACUUGGCCUAAACUAACAUGUUUGAUCUCAUAAACAUACAAAAUGUCUACAAGAACAUGCCUCACCCAUCUCCCAAUCCAAGGGAUUAUCUUAAGCCUAUAAUAUGGUGAAAGGUCAAUCCUUGCAAGUUAAUGGCGUUCCUAAUGGAAGGGUUGUAGCUCAAUUAUAUCCAUAAAUAUACGUCAUGAUUACCCAAAAGAAAAAAGCAAUUCAGUCAUAAUACUUAAACUUCUCAGCUCUUACUACACAUAUAUUUUCUAACUUAAGCAUUGGAGUACCUAUGUGCAUAUUUUCUCAUUUUACCCAUCGUGUUCUUUAUUGAAAAUUACAAAUUUAGUACCGUCGUAGCCAUAUGAAUUUCAAACCCAUUUGUUCUUUUUUCAAAUUUUGAUAUGAACAAUAAAAUAUCAACUCACUGUGAAAAUAUACUUUGAAUGGAUUCAAACUAAAUAAAAAAAGCAAAGCUGUAAACUUAAUUUUCCGUCGUCAUAUAUUUAAUUCUCUCCUUUUUUUCUAAAAAGAAAAUAUAUAUUUUUGGUUUGAGAUUUGGUUUUGGUUUGGAUCAGUUUUCAAACCCAGACCUCAACUUUGUAUAUAUGGAAAGCUAAAUAAAUUUGUGAAAGUUAUUAGAAUGAAGGCCAUUUUUGGUUUUACUUUGUAAAAAUAUAUUUUUAAAAUUAAAAUAAUUUUCAUUCAAAAAUUUUGGAUAAAAAUUUAAAAUAAAAACAUUGAUGUAUUUUGAUAUAUGUUUCUUUUAUGUAAAGAGUUAGUAGUCCGAAGUUAAUGGAUGAUAAUAGUGAAUGUAUCAGAAGUUGGUCGCGACAAUGGUUGAAGUUGGUGGUCAACCAAGUGUUAUGGUAGCCACAACAAUAUAGUUAAAGUGACGUAGAUUAGUUCUUUUUAGGAUACUUUGAUAUUUUUAAAAGAACUAUUAUAAGUAGCAAAAAAAAAUUGAAACUAUUUAUAAAAUAUAACAAAAAAAAAAAGAGAUGAUGAGCUAAAUAGAAUUGAAUAAUUUUGCUAUAGUUUGUAAAUAGUUUCAAUUUCUUUAGUUUAUUGGAAAGUAUCCCUUUAGAAAAUUAUAAAAUUAGGAAAAAAUUAAUCGGUGAAAUUAAAUACGUUAAACUGAGGUUGAGAGGAGAUGAAAGAGAAGGAGAAGAAGAAAAAUAAGAAUCAGAGAAAACGAAUGAAAAGAAGAAGAAAAGAAAAAGGAGAAAGAGGAUGAUGUCAAAGAUGAGAUGCAAGAGGGGAGGGAGAUCAAGAAGCAGAUGGAAGAGGAGGAAUCAUAAUGUCAACCCAAUCUAACUUUAGAAUUUUGAACAACCCAAGUUCUUCAAUGGAACAAUAAAAUUAGUACUUAUCUCCAGUGAUUAGAACUUCAACAAUACAGUUCUGCUCUUAUUCUCUUGUUUUAUUUAGAAGCUUCAACAAUCCCAAAGUUUGUCUCGUUGUUCUUAACACAUAAAUCCAACAAACAAGUUAGGUUUUCCCAUAAUCUCAAUUUUCAAAACUAAAGAAAGAAGAAAACAAAAGGUUAACAAUUAUUAUAUACAGGUAUACGGAUUAUUGCAAUGCAAAAUGUUGACAGAAACAAUCUUCGUAUCAGACUUCACCAUUUACAGCCACUUGCAUAUAGUCCUAGAGCAAUUUGAGACAUGCCUAUACACAUGUUCUGCCUCCUCCUCCUUCAUGUUCUUCUUCAACUUCCUCCUUCUCAUCUUUGUGUUCCUCUUCCUCCUCUCGCCAUCUUCUUCUACAUCCCCUUCAUCAUCAUUAUCUUUCUCCUCCCCCUCCCCUUCAUGUUAGAGUUGUGACUGUUUUUUCGGACUUCUUUUGACCAGAGGCUGCUAUGAGCUGUUUAUACCAUAGAGUCUAAGUAAAGAGUUAAUUUUAAAUCAUAACAAACAAAACCAAAUGCUAAAUUUUGAGCAAAUACAAUCAAUUUGAUUUUGACCCAUUUAAAAUGAAUUCACCUAAAAUUUAUAUAAAUAUAUGUAUGUAUACAUAUGCGCAUAUAUGUGUAUAUACAUGUAGACAUUGAGUUUUCAAUACUUUUAAUCAACAAGGGUUUUUAUUUUUAUUCAACUCAAAAUCCAAUUUAAUCGUUUUAAUUUUUGGAUUGAAUAUUCUGCAUAGCUAGGGUUAACUCUUUUCAAUUUUUCUAAUUUAUAUUUAAACAUAAAUAAACUCAAUCGUUUUUUUUUUAAAUAUAACAAACCAACAAAAUAUUUACAUUAUAUAAAACCAUUUUAAAAACGAAAAAAAAGUCCACUCACCUACAAUGGAAAAUGCAAAAAAAUGUCUCAAUGAACAAGCUAAUAAUUGGUCUCUCGCGUGUGUAAUAUUUUUUGUUCACGAUCUUAUACUAAUAUUGUUUAGAUUUGACUAUACGAUCGUUUAGAUUUGUUUUUUUUUUUUUUUUUUUUUUGUAAACAAUCGCAUGUAAAAUACAAAAAGAAAGAAAUAUUUGUUUUCUCAUUAAUUUUUUUUUUAUAAUAGUUCAUAUAUUUAAAAAAUAAUAAUUAAAUUCUUAGUUAAAUUUUGAAGGCUGUUUCUUUUUUUAAAAAGUAAAAUCUUUCAUUUAAUUAUAAAAAUAUAAAAGUAUAGAAGUAGUGUAAAAUAAAAAAUCAAAUAGAUUACUUAUGGGUUUAUAAUGAAUGAAGAUAAAAUUAUUCCUUAAUAAGGUUGCAUCAAUGUCAUCACUUACACUUUAUAAAUAAACUUCAAUUGUUUAGAAGAGAGUGGAAUAUUGCCUUAGAGUUCCAAUAGGCAAGUGGAAAUUAAAGCUUUUAUGUGAGUUCGUUGUCAUCCAUCUAUGUCUAUUAAGUUUUGAUUAUAUGUUCAAUAAAUAUUAUUUCAAAGGAAAAAAAAAGGGUUUAAAAGUCAUUUAUAAAUAUAACAAAAAAAAAUUUAUUGAUAAACAAUAAUAAGAAAUAUUAGAAAAAUUGACGGAAGUUUAUCGGUUUAUUAGUGUUUAUCAUCUCUAGAAUCGACCCAUUUGUUAUAUUUUUAAAUACUUUAAUUUAUUUUUUUAUAUUUGAAAAAAAUUAUUUUAAAUGACAAAACCUUUGAAAAUAUUUAUAAAUAUAACAAAAUAUUACAACUUAUUUUAUUAUCAAAAUAUAAUAUUAUUUAUGUCUAUCGAAUGUAGAUAGAUAUAAAUAGUAGUUUAUCUUAAUCUAUCAGAAUUCAUGUGAUAUUUUGCUAUAUUUAGUAAAUAUUUUGGUUCUUUUUGUUCUAUCUGAGAACAACGAAUUAAAACUAUGAUUAUUUUUCAAUUAAUUAAAAAAGGGAAUUGUCAUGAAUAACACAAGAAUGAAACUAUUAGAAAAUAUAGUAAAAAAUUUAAUUGGGUAUAAAGAGUUUAUUUUGUAAAUAGUUUGAUAUUUUGUUAUUUUAAAAAACACCUUAAAUUGCAAAGGACUAAACUUGAACCAACCUAAAAAUACCACAAAGUAAUAUAUUGUAAUAACCUAAUAUGUAAAAUAGAGAGACAUUUUCAAAUAUAGCACGAUGAAUCGAAAUGUUUGCAAAAUUUAUUAAUAAUAGACACUGAUAAACAUUGAUAGACUUCUAUUGUAUCUAUCAUUGAUAAAAUAUGAAAUUUCACUAUAUUUUAUAAAUAUUUUAAUUAGUUUUACUAAUUACAAUAAUUUUUCUAAAAUAAAAAUAAUUUAGAGGUAUUAUAAAAAAAAAAUAUAUAACAAUCUGGUAAAUUACACUAUAUAAAAAAAUUUGAAAGCGAAAAAUGCCCACAACUCCAAAUCAGUCAACAUGUGAUUAAUAGGUCACAUGCACACAUGAGUAAUCUUCUUCUAAACAAUUAUGUACUAUAGUCUACAUGAAUGAUCUACUAUCAUUUUGGUCAUAAUACACGAUUAUGUAGUUCUUUUUAAUGAUAGAAAAAAUGUUUCAAACUUAAACGAUUGUGUUGAUAAAUGUAUAGUUAUUUUUUAUUAUGGUAAACAAUUGUAUAAUAUAAUGUAAAUGAUUACUAAAAAGUUCAAAUCAAACGAAGUUGACCAUGUCAAACAAUUGUGUUAGAUAUGGUAAGCGAUCGUUUAGAUCAUACCAACACGAUCGUGUAGUUCAUUUUAAACGAUGAUAAUUUUUUUUAAAUUUAAACGAUCGUGUUGGCCAUGAUAAAUGACCGUGUUGAUUAUAAUGGUAAACGAUCAUUUUGAUCAUGUCAAAACAAUAUUUAAACAAUCUUGAUAUUUUCAAUUAUGAGGAACAUGAAGUAGCUUAAUAAAAUCUUACCGAAAAUGACGAAGAUGAAAUAGGAGAUUUAAAUAGAAGAAUAAAUUGUUUUAAAAUAGGGAAAGAAAAUAUGGAAGAUAAAGAUGAAUAAAUCGUUCGUAAUAUUCAAGGAUAAAUCUGAAAAUUGUGAAAAUAUUUUACCGACUUCAUGGACUUUUAUUUUUUGUUCCACGAGCUAUAAAUAUUUUUGGGUUUUGUUAUAUUUAUGUAAAUUAUCCCAAUAAUUUAAACAGCGUUCAUAAUAUUUGAUAAUUAAAUAACUAAUCUAUAUUUAUACAUUUUUUUUAGUAACUAUAGUCUCACACUAAACCUUCCCCUUGCAAUAUCCUACUCUCCCUCUAGAUAAUUUGAAAUAUAAUCUUUGGCUAGAUAUUAGCAAUAUAAUUAAAUAACUAAUCUAUGUUUAUAGAUUUUUUUAAUAAAACCAUAAUCUAAUCUCACACAAAGCAUUCCACUUGCAUAUAUAUGAAUUUUUGUAUGUAUUACGUACUCCCUUCUAGAUGAUUUGAAAUUUAUACGACGUAUAAAUGACGAUUAUUGCAACUUAAACUAAGAUUAGCCUCAUCGACUCCCUGUAAUUAAUUAAGAUUACGUUUUCAACAUUUAUAUUUUAAACUUGUCUGUGUCUAAUAGAUUUUUUGAACGUUAUUUAAACUAAUUCGAAUUUUGUAUUAAAUUUAUUUCAUGAAACUUUUAAACAAAGUGUACUAGAUAAGUUACAUGCAUUAAAUAAAAUUUUAAACUAAUUUGAUACAUUUUAGAAACUAAUUGACAACAACAUGUAUAUAUAUCUUUAAAAUUAAUGUCAUAAUCACUAAAAAAAUAUGUCUAAUAGUUUUAUAAAUUUUGAAAUAUAUGAAUUUGAUUAAAGAAAUAUCUAUUACCCAAACCUUUAAAAUUAAAAACUUAUUCCACUUGCACACAUAUUGGAACUCUAUAUCAUAUUCCACUCCCAUCCAAACGUACAUUUGGAACUUUAUUUGAAUAAAGAUGACAUUGAUUCAACUUUGGUAGACAAUAAUUUCAUCCCCAUUAACGUAAAUAUGUUUACCCACUUGCAAAAAGUAAACUAUUUAAUAUGAACUCAAGAGAAAAAAACAAUUUAAGUUGUUUGUUAUAUACUAAUCAUUACUAAAAUAAUAUGAUGUAAAAUUAAAACUAGUAAAAUAGUUCAUCUAUUAAAACCAUUCUAUUCGUUAUAAUUUUUUUUUUGUUUGGUGAUAGUGUUAAAAGGAUAGGAAUCUAUCUACUAUAUAGUAUAUUAUAAAUAUUUGAAAAAUAAUAAAAAGUUGUUCUAUUUAUUGUUUGUAAAAUUAUUUGUUCCAAAGUUUAUAUAACUACAAAAAAAUGUUAUCACCACUUUUUGUGACUCUUUUUUAGUCAUGUAAUCCACCAUUAAGGUAAGUGUGUAUAGAUGACUCGUGAGAAAAGUUUUAUAGUUGGUUUGUUUCAAGACUUUGAAAUUCAAUCAACAAUAAUCAUUUAUUGACAUUAAUUACCUAUGAUCAUGAUACCAUUUUCUAUGACAAUUUGUUAUUGUCAACAAUGGCUCGAAAGUUGAUCUUUAUGUCAAUUAAACAUUUACCUUGACGAAAAUUUGUCAUAGAAGGUUGUUUGCCAUUUUUUUAAAAAAAUUGGAUCAUUUAACAUUUUUGACCUAAUUUUUGGGCGAUUUGUACAAUUUUCUCAAGAGUUUCUAUUUUUGUUCUUUUUGCAAUAUGCGGGUAGAGCAACUAAAUCAUUAAACUCAUGAACAAUAGUAUAAUCAAGUUUUAUGUUAACAAAGCUAUGGUUAUUCUUUAUGCAAGGGUUCUUAUUUAUAUGAAGAAAUAGUUUAUAUAAUUAAGGGACUCUUGCAGAUAUGAAAAAAUUAGUUUGAUAAAUUAGGUGUCCAACCUUAUUCAUAUACUAUUAACCGUUCGGAUUAUAUACUCAAACUUGAUCCAUAUUUAUGUCUUUACAUAAUGUUCAAGUCUACACUAGACAACCUCGGAACCUUAGUUUAUUGAAUUCCAUAUUAUAACAUUCAAUUUUUACUAAUAAAUUCUCAAUAACAACAUUAUUGAAUAGAAUAUAAUUUUAACUACGAACUAAGAGUUUUAUGACAUCAAUUCCAACAAGUCCUUGAUCGCAUUCUAAAUUAUGUGUUGACGACACGCAAUGGAAGUUAGCGAUUAGAAGUGUUGCGAUGCAAUUGUGUAAGGCCUUCUAGAUAUGCGAUAAGAAAGAACUAUGCGUUAAGAUGAGAGGCAUUGUGUGCUUCCUUCACCACGAAGUAGUUGACAUCCUCCUAAUGUAAGAUGAGAGGCGAUGUGUGCUUCCUUCACCACGAAGUAGUUGACGUUAUGAUUUGACCUGACUACCCACCUCGUUCAGGAUAAGGAAGUGAAAGUAGCCAUGCGACAUCUUGAUAUUGGAUGAAUCUCACUGUCGAGCCGAAGUAAUCAUUCUAACAUAGAAAACUUCAUUGAAAAAUCCUAAAUAAGAGAAGUCCAGCAAGCUUAAGAACUAAUUUUACCUUGUGUUUACCUAAGAAAAGUUUAAAGAAUUUGAAAAGUAUUUUGGAGGCUACCACGAGUUUCAAAUUCGACAAGGAUUUUGGAAAAGAGCUUAAACAAGAAGGUUACCCAAUUGUGGGUGGUUUUUCCUUAAAAUUUUAUGAAAUAAAUGAAUUUUCACUGUGUUUACGCCACAGGCCCAGGAUUUGGAAUUUGGAUUAUCGACAUUUCUCUACAUCUCUUGUGACCUGACAACAUCAUCCUUACUUGUCUUAAAAGUUUAUUAGAGUGAAAGUUCUCCUCAAAAACCAACACGAGCUUUUUCAGCAUGUUUUGUCCUCACUUAUAUGCUUCCUAGGAAAAUUCCCAAAAGGUCACCAAACAUAGAAUUGCUCCAAUCUAAACACACUUAACUUUGGAGUUCCUAUGAUCGAGUCACCGAAAAGGAAGGUGCACCUUGUUGGUAUAGUUAGUAAUUUUUAAUUCUUUAACUUAUUUUCAUGUGCUAAGGAUCCCUCUCAUUCAGAUGUGAUACCGGUUCACAUGUCCCUUCCAAAACUUGGGAAACUAGAGAAUUCUUGAGUUUAAUAAUUAUUAUUAUGUUUCUUAAAUUCUUAAAAUAGAGUUGGCUUGCAAAUAAAUCUGAAUUGGAUUGUUGUUGCGAAAUGAUUUUUGUACCCUAGGCGAUGAGAUACCUUACACUUAAUUUGUGUUAUGUUGUGGGAUGCCCUAUUUUUGUUGUGUGAUGUGGGAUAAGAUCCCCCAUACUUGCUUUAUGAUCUAGUAUAAGAUGUCAUUUGCUUGCUUUGUGAUCUGGCGUUGGAAGACGCAUUAUGCGUAAUGGAAUUUAUACAAAUUGCUCUAUACGUUGAGAUUACUUUGUACAGUCACAACUAGAUGAUGAGAGUGUGUUGACACUUAUGUUGAGGAGGGUACAAAAGAUGAAAUUUGGUAUAUGAGGUGAUUUUGCGUUAUGUUAUAUAAAAUGCGUUAUGCGGAAUUACUCCUUUUAUGUGAUAAGAAUUAUGAUGAAAUGAUUUUGAGGAAAUGGUUUCUUUGAGAUUUAUAAACACUUACCAAUGAGAUUUGAAUGUGUAAAUUGUGAGGCCCUAAUCCAAGAGGAAGUCCUAUUGAAGAGGAACUCCUUAAGAUAGGCUAUUUUUGACCAAGUAUAGAAAGAGGCAUUCUGCGACGAAGGGUUCGAUUGGAGAAAAGGUAACGCGAAGAGAAGUCUUUGGGUCUAAGAGCCAUCAUGUGAUGUAGGUAAUGAGUGGAGGUUGCCGAUGAAGAAGAAGCUAGCGUUUAACACUAAGAUCUAGGCGAUUAGGGUAGCAAUGCGGGGAGAAGUGAUAACGCCAAGAAAUAUCCAUUAUUAUAGCCAUUUUAUUAGAAUAAUGAGGUCAAAAUGUAUAAGAAGAUGAUCAGAACGCUUAACUUGUGUUGUAAACACAUAAGUAUUUAGAAAUAUAACUUACAUAAGCACCAUGCUUGUUUUACGCGUUUAUUAUGUUUAAAUGCAUGAUAAGUGGACAAGAAGGAGCAAAUCACAAAUGACACCUUGUACAUAGGUCACGCGAUGAAAACUCACCUACCGACUAACACCUCCAGGGAAGGAACCAUGUGGUCACGCGAGGAAAGCCCACUAGAAGACAAUGAUUGUAGUACGUAGAAGUUCUUGUUUCAUGUCCGUUGUUGAAGCAGUUGUUUAAGGAGAUUUCAGUAAGCUGAAAGAUGCCUUAUGCACUGCAAGCAUGGCUUUCAAUAGGAAAGUCUAGUCCUUAUUUUCUUUUAAGUGGAAUAAGAUGAGAGGCAAUAUGAAUAGUCCUUUGGUUCCUAAUACUCCUAAUAGAGGGGUCCAUAUGCACAAAGCGAAACAUAUUUAUCUAAGAAAAGAAGAAAGGAGUGUAAGGAUUCAUACUAUUUAAGGCCUUUGGAAUCAUGACUCUCACAAUAUUCUUUGGGCCUCCGUAGCUUAAUAUGAGACUUUUCAUCAACUCAAUCAAGACACUUGAGUCACUUGGGAGUAAGUAAAGCCAUAUACUUAACAACAUCUCCGUCUAAAUUGUGGAAUCAAAAGACAAACUCAUAACUUCAAAGACAAGGUCUGCAGAUCCAUGUGUAUUCCAAAAUGUUCAGGUCUUCUUCAGUUCUCAUACCAGAACUUCAAAAGACCAAAGGGCGGAACUUGGAGACUUUUAGAGCGUUGCUUGCCGCUGAUAGAAAAUAGGGGGAGAGGAUAAAAGUAAGCCCUCAUGAAGAACUAGAUAUUGUAAGGAGCAAAGAUAUAUGGAUAAGGCGCAAAGAAUAUUGCGACUUUUCAAUGGUUCAUAGUCAAGAGGGUCAAAGUAAACCCACGGAGCGAGAAGAAUUGGGUAUUAUAAGGAGAAAUGAAAUAUGCGAGGUCCAGAUGACUUGUUUAUCCAUUUUAAAAGGACCAACUCUGCAGAAAGUUGACCCCUUCCCCCCUUACUUACAAAAACCUAAAACCCUCGAACUCAUUUGAUAAGAAAGGUCGUCGUGCAAGGAUAUACCUCUUCUCUUUGACGUACCCCUCUUAACUAAGUCGGGGAUUAGAUAACCAUUUGAAUUCCAUAGUUUUGAAGAGCUACUUUCUAAAGUGCAAUCAAAUGUUCAUUGCUCACUAACAAAAACAAAAAUCGAGAAAAGAGAGAGAAAAAUAGAUAAAUAAAGAUAGAAAUCAUAUAAAGAGUGGAUCAAACUAGUUCAAAAACUACAACGACUGGGACAAUAAGGGGAAUCACAAGGAAACCUCUCACUACCACUAGGAAGAAAGGUAAGACAAACCAGUUAUGGUUGGAAUAAAUAGACCUCUGGGAAGAGGAGAAAGAAGAAAGUGACUUGAGGCUGAGGCAUCGACCAACAAACAAGGAACCUCAAUUAUGCAAGCCACUCUUUCAUUGGCAGUUUUCGUCUCAAAGAAUACAAUCUCAAUCGGGAAAUAAAGGGAGAUACCUUCCCCAAGCACAUAUUCACCGAAGAAAAGAGUCUCAAUCAAGCUGACGGCUACCCCUUAGGGUUGGGGUUCAAGCCUUAAGUCCUAAACUCCCCUCAAAUAACGAUAGCUACCAUUCAUAGAAUAGAAAGUUAUAACAAAGAAAGGAGGCAACUACAACCCAAGCUCUUCUCCAUUCCUUAAUCUUCCGGAAAGGUUGGAACCAAAGGCUAGUUCAAAGCUCUCCUCGAUAAGAAGACAAAUGAAAGGUUGGAAACGAAGGCUGGUGCUCUCCUUGGCCGUCGUCUGGCUUCAACACCCAUAAGGGGCUGGCUGUCUGGAAAUCCUUAGUCUUCCUUAAUUCGCAUUAUUAGUCAAAUACCAUAUUCUCACUUGGAAGGAGGUUAGAGGAAAAACAUUGACCCAAGGUCAAAGGUCUCUCCUUAUUAUUAGGAUGAGAUGAUUAGGAAGUCAUUGAAUCCUCUGUAUCUGUAUUCUUCUUUCACUAAAGAUCCUCCUUAUCCUUCUUAGGAAAGGGUAGUCAGAAGUACCGGUCCCAUAUCUAGAAAGCGCUGAGCAUGUAACACACGCAACUCAUGCAACUCUGCAAUCUUCUUUGCACCUCAUCAUCCUUCUCAAAUUUCAUGAUCUUCUCAACGCACGCAAUAUUCUUUGCACCUCAAUAGCUUAAUAUUCAGGUAGAAAACUCCUCACAAUAUUCUUUGAACCUUUGUUUUUGACUUUUUUAUAUCCAUAUUAUUCAUAGGCUCGCUCACUUGCUUACAUCAACAUCAAAAGCUCAACUCAAAGUGCCCAAUUGAAAAUAUCCUUUUUGGGGUACAAAAAUGUUCACACAUACUUCAUCCCAAGGGUUGGGAUAGGAUUGAUAGGGCGAAAGAAAGCACCUAACUCUCAGGAAAAUGGGCGCAAACUAGUCUAGCCUAGGGCUAGAAAAGAAAUCCAACUUCCACUCUCACUGCAACUCCGCAAAAGACAUGGUCUGAGCGACUUUAGGCUGAAUUCAAUUUUCAAGUUGCGAAAGGAGUAAAGAAUUUGUGAAAACGAACUGUCAAAUUUAGUGUCGAGCCUUGAUUUUAGAAUGGGAGUUUUCCUUUUAGAACUUUUCAUUGACUCGUCUAAAGUGCAUUCUUUUUUAGUUUCUCAACUACUUAGUAAGAGCCAACAACUAAGAAACAUCAUUGACAAAUGAAAUACAUUCAUCACUCUAAAUAUCGAUAGUUGUAGCUUUGUCUUUUAUCUCUCUGUCUUUCAUGAGAUAAGCUAGAGGAUAUUCACUCAAUUUUGAAUUCAUCCAUUUUUCUCAUUAUUAUAUAACUCCUUCUUUCUCUCCAUACUACUAUGUGGAAUUAAAGAAGAAGAUGUACGACCCUUGAGCCUCAAACUUGGUGGGCGUCUACCCAGUGGUUUUUUCUUUAUUCCUGAUCCUGAGGAUCUUGUUGGUAUAGGAGAUGGGGAUUGACUCACUUUGAUCCUUCCCAAGGCUGGCCUUAUGACCUAAAAUAUCCAGUUCUUCCAGCUCUGUGGGCUUGCUUUAUGCCUCAACUUUCUCUUAUUUAGUUUAGGUCUCAUUCGUUCACACUUGGAUUUGGACUCAAUUUACACUAAUAACAAAACUCAAAUUCUCUCGUGAAUGGGUGGCUGCAUGCAGUAGUUGUCUCAGCGACUGGAUCGAAAAAUAUACUAGUCGAGGGUAUAGACCAAAAACUCAGUCUCUCUGCUUCUAGUGGGCUUCGUCGGAGCCUUUAUCUGGCGACAGUUCCUUAAUGUGCUUGUUGUGGCAGGAUGUUAUAGAUAGAGAAUGAAAUAUGAGUUCAUUCGCCAUCGACCUAUUUCUAAACCAAUGGAUGGAUCUAAAGAAGCUUAGACAUCUCAAUCUCAGUCAAAGGAAAUAUAGUUCUUAGGCUUGCUAUAAACCUUGGUCGAUCUAGCAUAGGAGCUUACGAAAUAUGACACACAUACUCCAGGGAGCCUAUUCAAAGAAAAAGAAGAAGAGAACCUAUCCUAAGCAGCAGAUCACGUCAACAUCCUAUGAGGUUCAACUGAUACUGCCUAUGAGAGAAUUUUACUUUUGCGUCCUCUAAGUCAGAUUUCGCCUAUAUAUAAAGUGCACUUAUUUCUUUAAAUUUUAGUAAGGUAUGACUACUCUUCUGCUAACCUGUAUUCAAUAGAUAUUCAUUCAUCGGUUAAGUGAUAAUGAGCCAUUAACUAGGCCUAGGAGCUAAAAGGAAUUCAGUUUCGUCAGUGACUAGGAUACGCGCAAUAACUAAGAAUCAGAGGAUCUCACUUUCCCAAUAUCCAGUAAGGUCGAGGCUAGAAGGACUGAAAGGACCUAAAUAGGAGUUGAUAAGUGAAAGCGGGAGUUCGUAUGUAUGGUGCAUACCAGUCUCAGUUGAAUAUGAUUGGGUGUAGCGGGUAUUCCUACAUUCUUUCAUUCAAACUGAGGCCACAAUCCCGAGAGUUAGGGAGUGGAACUUCCCUAGUAGUAGUCAUUUGAAGUGAUUGAGUCACUGACAUGAGAAUUAAUCUUUGUAAUAUUCAAACCUAUACUUUUUCCACUCAUCUUUUUGCCUUUAGUCUUUUCGCAAAUUCUUUGUCACACAACUCAGAUUGCAUUGAACCUCACGCAAUAUUCUUUGGGCCUAAUCCACGAUAUUUGCUCCUCUUGACUAUUCAUCAUAUUUUUUAGGCGUAGGUUUGGAAGUCCGACUAUUCGAUGAUGAAAGUGGAAUGAAAUACCUCUAGGGAAAGUAGUGUAUAAGCCUUAUUCUAGAAAUGUUAGCAUAAGGAAAGACCCUACCACCUUUUCUUCUUCAGCUGAAAGAGCCUCUUCCGCAACGAAUAAGGAAGACUCUUGCUCCCUAGCUUACUUAAGAGAGAGGGAUGAAUUCCUUCCCCUGCUUUAAGAGUAGUUAUUCCUGUGAGGCCUCCUUCCUACUGAUCUAACUGACUGUCCUACUGAAUCAAUGGAUUCUUCUAUUGAGUAAGAAGAGAAUUCCAUAUCAAAGAAAGAGUAGUGUCCUAUAUUGAGAAGAUAGAGUUAAAGGAUAGGUUGAAACCUAUACCUCUUCAUUCGGUGGAGACUGAAUACACCUAUAAUGGAGAUUGAAGACUCUUCAAUUGCUGAAACAGAGAUUUUCGAUCUGGCUACCCGAAAGCAUUUAGUGAUAGUUGUCGAUGUCAGUGAGUCUUAGGAUCACAGCUACUCUUGGAGUGGAUUAUUCAAAAAUCAAAGAUAGCCGAGGAGUCUUCUCAUGGAAUAGAUUUCUUCUUCUUGUCUUCUAGGGCUAUUCAAGUUCAAGAAAACAGAUGCUACGGCUCCGUGGGACUACAUACCCCUACGUGGGACCAAGAGCUUCUUUCAUUAGGAACUUUCUUCUUGUUGUGGACUCCAACAAUAUGGGAACUUCCCCGGAAGAUCACAAGCCCUCCCAUUUCAUUUGCUUAUGGUACGCAAUCUGCCUAUUACCAACUUAUCCAAUUCCACGUAAGGAAAGAGGCCUGGCCCUAGAAAGCAAGGACAGCACUCAAUCUCUCUCUUCUCCUUCUACCUGAAAUGGGUAGGAAGGCUCCAAUCCAAGAUAGAGGGCGGCUUAGCAAGUUAAGCUUUGACUGAAUUGGAAGUAGAAAAAAGUCCUGCUUUACUGGCAACUUAGAGUAGCUCGUAGGCAGAAGGGACAAGAAAGGAAACUCCAACUUCCUAUUAUUUUAUUUGACACCCGCACCCUAAGAUAAGAAAAGCACUGUCCACUCGCAGGGAAUUCCCUUGGAGCCGAAUAUUGAAUAGAAUAUAGAAUGGAGUUGGCCUUGCCCAAAACUCCCACUCGAGUCAAAAGGAAAGCAAAAUCAAGAGUGGUAAUCUUCUUUUUCCUUUUAGAAAGCAUAGGCCCCUGACUCUAAGGCUUUUUCCGGGGCCUUAAGAGAAAGCCGCCCCUCGUAGGUAGGCUACGUUUAUAGAAGAAAAAAAAGCCCGAAGUUGGUUAAGGGUGGAAGUACAUCAAAAUAGUAUGAUGAAAUUCGAUUAAGCAGACAUCCUUGCGUGGCGAUGGACGCAUCUUUCUUUUCUCUUGCCGGGAGGCCUAAUAAGGAUAGGUUCUAGUUCGCCCAGGAGAAGUUCCCCCCAGUACCUCUUCCCGUAGUAAGGGUUCGGGGGCUUCAAACCUUCUUUUCUCUUUUGACAUUUAGGAGGUGUUCUCCUCCUCAAAUUUCAUUGAUCCUCUCCCCCUAAAAAAUAUAUAAGGCGAGCUGCCACAAUAUCCCUGGCUCAUGGAACCUCUCCUUACCGUCUUUCAACUCCUCUAGAGUCUCUUUCAGAGUAAAGAUCACUGAUAAGGAAGGAUUUUAACCUGCGGAUUCUUUUUUAUGAAAGAAUUGGAGUGAAAAAGAUAGUGAGGGAGAAGAGAAAGCGAAGCUAGAAUAAGAAAGCAAGAAAAAUUUAUAUGGAUAAAAAGUGAAAAAUAAUGACAAUAUCUUUGCACCUCAUGCAACUCAACAAUAUCCACUUCUUCUCACUGCAAUAUUCUUUGCGCCCUCUUCAAACUCAAAUUGCAUUGAGCCUUUGCAAUAUUCUUUGCACUUUCAGACUAGUCUUGAUUUUUCAAUAUUAUUUGAUCGAGUCAGAUGGAACAUGAAGAAGGGUCACACCACCCAUAGCGUCAUAUUGGGGUUGGAGAAGAGGGGUAGGUACCACUGGGUGAGGCCUACUAUAUAUGAUAGGUUAGAACCUUCUCGACCAGAGUAUAUUCUCUAGUUCUCAUAGGUAACUUAAAAUCUAAGGAAAAGAAUUUGUAUGAAAGUCAAUGAAAAGUUUGAGUCUUGUGUAGAGAGGAGAGAGUAAGGGUUGGAUUUCCACUCGAAAGACAAGUCCUUUCUAUAGUUUCAACAUUUUCCUCAUCUGUGGGUGGUAGGGUUUCGUCACGCCUCAUCAAAGUUCUUCAUUGACUUGACUCCCAUGAGAUUCACUCCUUUUAGAUGUUCAAACCCUUUUUCACAUCAAAUGCAGGCAUUCCAGCAUGAAAAAGGAUUGUGGUUGCCUGUAUCACGAUUUCAGUCUCUCAAUAACUACGAAGCCCCACCCUAGUCUCAGUCGCGGGGGUAAGUCAAAAGCCCAGAGCACCUUUCAAGGUUGAACUAGAAGUUUUCUCAUAAAAAACCUUUCUUUUCGAUUUCUAAUCCCUGAUGUUUAGAAGAGAAAUGGAAUCCCGAUUGGGGACGUUGAGCCUUUUGACCAUACGAAGGAGAUUGAAGUGAGAGAAUAUGAUAGUAGUUCUAACCGUCAAUGGAGCUUUAUUUUUAACAACAUUGAUCAGUCGCUUCUCAAAUUCUCAAUAUUCUUUGAACCUCGGCUUUCUUUUAACGAUAAAAAUAUAGAAAAGAUUCCAUAAGUCUGGAGGAGGAGCAAAGAGGUUAAUAUGUCCUUAUCAAUGAAAUAACGUAGAAAACACAAAGAAUAUUGCGAGGAGCAAAGAUCUAUGGAUAAGGUCCGAAGGACUAUCCAUUAGGAAAUUUAAGAAUAUUGAGUGGAACUGAAAGAAUAUUGGGAGAAUAUUGCGAAGACAAAAUAAUUGAACCUAAGAUAGGGAUAUUGUUGAAUUGGAUGACAGGUCGAAACUAGGUUUUGAAAUAAAUAAAGCACUACGCGGUGGCAAACUCUCAAGGAAGAAGAGCGCUUCUACCGUAAACACUGUGGUGCAUCCUAAAAGGCGGGUGAGAGGAGAGAUAAAAGAAUGCUUAUCCUAUUCAAGGGCUACAACAACAAAUGAUCCAGCUUCAACGAAAAGGGAUACCUCUCCUUAGAGUGAAAGUCGAGCCUUUCUCUUCAUAUAAUCUAGGGUUGGAAAGCUUAAAUCUUCAUUUGUUCAAAAGAUUAUUAUAUUUGAAAUUUUAUAACAUGUUUAUAUAUUGUAAAUUAAACAUACCCAAAUUUUCUAUAACAUUGGUAAAACAUUUCUGGAACUGAAAAAGUCAUUAAUGAUUAAUGCCUAAGAUGCUAUAAGUCAUACUUCAACUACUCAAUCUUCUUUCCUGUUUGAGAGUGAUAAUUUAUAGAUACAAAAGGUACAUUAUUGAACUAUGGUGAUUGUGAUUCUGAGGAAUUGUGGGCUUCGUUGUUAUGCUGAGUUUCUGAGAUCUUCAAUAGACAAUAACUUGAAACCUCUGACGUUUGGUUUGUUGAGAGGGUGGAUAUGGUGAGUAUUAGUGGUAUCUCUCUUUUCUUUCAUUAACUUUCUUCCGUCUACCACUGAGACAAGUCCAUAAUUUCUUUCACAAUGUGGUUAAACAGUUAUCAUCUACCCAAAUAGAUUCUAACACAAAUUAUAUCAAUGUGUAUUGUUUAAUAAGUUUUUUUUUAUAUAUAUUAUUAUUAUUUGUAUCUAUUUCUACUUUAACAAAUCAAAGUUCUUUUUCAACCAUUAAUUUAACAAAUCAAACACCAUCUUCCCUUCUGUUAUUAACAAUAAAAACAAGUGAAUUCAAUUAUAAUUACAAAAAAUUCUAUUAAAUAAGUUUUUAUCGUAGUUAAAACAAUGAAUUUUACCCCAACACAAACUAAUUUUUUUAUUAACUUUUUAAAUUUACUGGGAAAAACUAAUUUCAAGUUUUUAAAUUCAAAUCCAACGUGUGUUUGGGUACCUUGAAAAAAAAAUCGUUUAAAUUUUCUACCCAUUAUAGAGUCCUAGUUUUUAAAUGUAAAGUUUAUCAUCAUCUCCCACUUAAAAAUUUCUUCCUUUAUAAUCUAAUUUCCACCUAUAAUAUGUUAAAAGAAUAAGCAAAAUUUUGAAAGCUAAAAAAACAAUUUUUAAUUUUUAGAAUUUUAGCUAAAACAUAACCUUUUUUUUUUUUUUAAGUAGGCUUUGAAAAUUGAAAGAACAUGUUUAAUUUUAUGGAAUGGGUGUUAGAGACUUUCAUAAUUUUUGUAAACCUUGAACCUCUUAAAUAAAAGAGAAUGUCAAAUUAUUGGUGGGUUAUGAGAAUUAAUGGACUUAAAUACUUUAAUUAGAAGUGGGAAGAAAUAAAUUGUAAUUCAACCCAUUACAAAGCCACCUAGAGUUAAUUGAAACCUUGCAUGUCUAAUUGCAACAACUACAUCUCUAAACUUACCAUUGUUGUAAUUAAAUCUCGGCACUAAUAAAAUGUCAUGGUAAAGUUUUAUAAUUAACAGCAAAAGUUACAUAAAGAUUGAGGGCAAUUGCUCAAAUUUAAAAUUCAAUUGUAAUUUUCUUAAUUGAAAAAAUCCUUGGGCCUUUGAUGAAAGUAAUCAUCUAGAAUUUAUCAUUUAUGAUUAUUUAAUUCUUAAAUUUUAAUAAUGAAUUAAUUUAAUCUCUUUACUUUUAAAUUCGUAAUGAUUUCAGCUUUGUCGCAAACAGUUACUAUUAUGAUUUGAUUAAGUUUAUUAAAUAUAUAGAUUGAUGGAGGUUCUAAACUCAAAUUUAUUUAUAAACUAUGAAGAGUAACUUGUUACAUCGUUACAAAUCAUUACUUAUAAGUUUAUUAAUUAAAGUGUUACAAAUAUAAAAGUACAGAGACAUUGUCUUUCAACCCUAAGCCUCUUUCAGUGCCAAAUCCACAAAACAAACUAUGAUUUAAGCUUGGUAUUAAAACCGUCAACAUUAAAGUGAGAUUAAACCCUCAAAUCUUCACUUCACUUGCCAUUAAGCCUCUCAAUAACAGAGAUUAAGCCUUGAUUGCCAAAUUUUCCAUCUCCAUUCGCCACCAUUGCAGAGAACAAUUGCUUGGUCAAUGCAGCUCCUGGCAACACUACAACCCUCUCAUCUUCCCCUUCUUCCACAACAUCCACACCCAUUCCUAAAUCCUUCACCAUAUACUCAGCAAACCCACCAGGCCUAAAGUCCCUUCCUAUCAUCCUCUCAGCAAACAGUUCCAUUGCCAUUGACCAUGCUCCCCCUCCCCUCACAGCUUCCACAAACUUCUUCAUGUCCAACCCCGCUCGCUCCGCAAACACCAACCCUUCACUCAGCCCCAACAAAUUCGCCGAAAUUGCAAACUGGUUUGCUAUCUUGCAACUCUGCCCACACCCAGCUUCACCUACAUAUGUUACUUUUCCCAACACUUGAAACAAAGGUAAUAACCAAUUCACUACCCCUUCAUCUCCACCACCAAAAAUGGCUAACUUUCCAUCUCUAGCCCCAAUGUCACCCCCUGACACCGGUGCGUCCACAGCCCAACAACCUGCCAAGAAUAUCGCUAAAUGAUUAAACAUAGCAUAGAGUAAUUCAUCCGGCUAAGCUUUCAGUCAUGCCAUCAAACUCUAGUAAAUUAAGUGGAAUAAAUUUUAACACGACCUUUUGCACGAGCAGCGAUAAAUAUGUCGCGGGCAAGUGCGGGGUGGCUACUAGUGGUGUCAACGAUGACGCCACCAGGAUUCAAGCCUUGUAGGAUCCCAUUCUCGUCUAGGACAUUUUGUCGAACAUCUGAUGGGUGACCCACCAUUGUGAAAACAAUAUCGCUGGUCUGAGCUAAUUGUAAAACAGAGUUAACAAGAAGAGCCCCUUUGGAUUGUAAAUCAAGAGCUUUGGAAGGGGUACGAGCGUAGAUAGAGAGAGAGUAACCUGCGGAGAGGAGACGAGUGGCCAUAGCGGCGCCCAUAACUCCGAUGCCAAUCCAUCCAAUACGAGUUUUGGUGGGAGAAAUGGGGUUGGGGUAAGGAGUUUGCAUGGUGGAUUAAGGAAUAAUGAAGCUCAAGCAACUGAGUAGAAAUAGGAAUGGAUCUCAAAAGUUGUUGGUUUGUUUAGUCUCCUUCGUCUAUCACUUUGGCCGUUUUCUUUUAGAAAAGGAGUAAAAGAAAGAAUACUUUGAAAACAGGCCAUAUGUAUCAUUCUCUUUCUUUCUUUUCUUAAUAUCUGAAAUUAUAUAGAUAUUUACUAAUAUUGGGAUCAAAAUACAUUAUUUGUCUUGCAAAUCUUAAAUUUACAUCAUGCUUUUAACAUUAAUCUUUAUCACUCCUUAUUAAUUUAUAAUUAUUUUAAGAAAAACUUCAUCCGACAACAAAAAAAAAAAACUUAGAAAAAAACAGUUCAUAAUACCUCUUUUUUGCAUAUUGAAAAUAUGAUAAAUAUAACAAUUAAUUAGAUAUAUCAGUAAGCUAAAAGAUGACUAUCAAACAACUAUCAAAGGGGUAUCAGGUUUUAAAUUUGUCACUUUUGCAAUUUAGAAAAUGUAAUGACAUGAACUCUAUUAUCAUAAUUUUUUUACUAUUUUUGCAAACAUCCUAUAUUUUAUUAAUUUGAUUAAUUUUAUAUUGAAGGAGAAAACUAAUGAUGGAUGAUAGUAGUAAUUUUAAUAACUUUUAUAUACUACUUUUAUCUAGUUAAAAGUUAGAACUAUUUACAUUCACAUUUUAAUAUUCCAAUAUUCGGUCCUAUCUUAAAAAUAAAACAAUUGUUGAUGACAUUUCAAGCACCUAUAAGAAAUAAAUUCAUUAGGUUGAUUCAAGUAAUGGUUUUCACUGUUUGUAGAGUCUCCUAUCAUUUUCUAUUAUAGCAAUGGAACUCUUUUCAAAGUACAAAUGUUCAAUUUUCUUGUGUUUUCUUCCUUUGAUUUUUAUUAGAAAAAAUUAUAAUUUUAAAAGAUAGUUUAUUAUUGUAAAAAUAGUUAAUUUUUUAAUAAAAAAUAUAUAAAACUAAAAAAGAAGUUAUCAAAUCAAAAUUGUUUGUUUAGUUUUUAAAACACCUAUCACUUAUCCAUGAAUGGUUCUUUCCCAUAGCUUCAUUUUAUUUCAUGCACUUCACAUAAUCCACAAAUGGUUCUAAUCCACCAAUGGUAUGAGAUAUUGAUCACUCAAUUAAUCUUUUUUUUUUCUCAAAAUAAGCAUGCUAGAUGAAGCAAUUGAGCUCUUGAUUUUAUAAUGUGUGGUGGUAUAUUUAUUUAUUGCAAACAUUAAAGCUUAAUACUUUUACGGUUUUACCUUCACUCAUAAUUUAGUAUGGAACGAAAUAUCUUUGAUCACCAGAGAAUUAAACACAUAAAUCCACACUUAUCUUAUUAAUUUAUUGAUGUUCAUACAUUAAGCAUUAGAAAGAGAGUUAAAGAAGUAGAAAGGCAUUUGCAUGCAUGAGUUCGUGUGGAUUCACAUCUCCCCUAUCUUAUUUAUCUGAUUCAUUAGUUAAUAAUAGUCCAUCUUUGGCUAGCACUUCCAUCACGACGGUUCGUAACGAGUACUGACGGAAAAGUAGAAUCAGGCACACUAAACACAUCUAGGACCAUGUCAGUGUUGGGAUGGUCAAUAGUAUAGUCUUUAGCAUCAAGACUCCAACGUUGUUGCGGUUUGUCUUCACAUUUAGACACAACUACAAAGCGACCAAAAUCUUGGUCAGAAGUCAAGCAAUAGUUUUUGUUCACAUGUUGUCGAAUGGUUCCAUCUGCAUACAAUGCCCAUCUUUGGUACUUAUUGUCUGUAUUACAUCCAUUCAAUCCCACAUGACUUGAAUCGUCUGUGGAUUGCAAACACAAGUUGUUAAGCCAUUCGAUGUUUGCAACCAUUGAGUUUAAACUUUCCGUGACUUCCCAACUUUGUGAUGGUGUAUAUUUGUUACUUUGCAAUGUCACAUAGUCUAAAUCUCCUGUUAGAACCAUUCUUGAAUCGACGAGGGCUAUGGUUCCGUCAUUCUUCUGGGUCCAUUUCUUGUUAGGAUCUGAUACUUUACCACACUCACUUACUACUGCUUUAUUUAUGACCCCAUAAAAAACUUCAGCAGCCAAGCAAAAUUUAUCAUUCAUGGGUCGAAUUGUGCCAUCUCCGACAAUCGUCCAUAAUUGAGUUUGUUUCUUCUCGUCACAUGGUGAUAAUCGAGUUGGAAAAUUAAUACCUGCAGGUUUGUACCAUGGAGACAUCUCUAAACACAAUCCAUCUCGACCCACAAGAUGUGUGGCUCCAGGGACGCCUCCAUAUCCAACUCCAUAUCCAUAGUUGGGGGGCACUGCGAUGGCAAGUUGGGUGGUGAGUGAGAAGGCUACAAUGAUGCUCAACACAAUUUCUUUCAUCCUUUGAUUACUUUAAUUCGACUAU
rnacentral:lncRNA from 1 species